CUCUUCUCAUACACACCCGCUCCCCCGCAACCCCCGUUAAAAUCUUAAAACCAACUACUUGGAUUUAAAUGACCUAUUGAACCACCGACCUUAACAGUUCCUAAACUACUGCUGUUUUUAAUGUAGUCUGAUGCAAAGAUUGCAGGAUCCUGACAUGCCCUACUUACUGGUCCUACCGUAGCUUGAAAUAAUAAGAAAUUUUAACAAGGGCAAUGCUGGCAUCAACUCCUUUAACAUUUUUGGGGUGGGGGAGGGAUUAUAACAAGGUUUAGUUUAUAACCUCGUUUAUAACCUCGUUUGUUUCCAGCAGCCUAAGUGGGUGGGGAACAGGAAUAGAAAGAUUUCCUGUUCUUUCUCCUUGUGCCGUUUUAAUUAGAACCUACUCUAAAUACCACACAAGCAAUUUAAAAAGCAAAUUUGAAGUAUUGAAGAUUUAGUUCAGUGGAAGAGCACUUGCCUAGCAAGCAGUAGGCUCUGAGUUACAGAAAUGGAGAGGGGAGGGAUGACACACAAAAGAAUCAAAUUUGAAAAGUAAAGACUAUCAAAAACAUUAUCACCUGUGUAGUCCACAACUGUAUAAUGUAUUUUCAUUCAUUGAGAAGACAUUCAAUACUGCAUAGUUCCGAUUUGACGAAAGUCAUAAAGAUCAAGGUUGGGACUAUUGUUGUGAGGGCUAGAGUAAUUAGUAUAAAUAAAUUUGCCAUUCUUUAUAUGUGUAUUUUCAUUAAAUUCUCUCAAAAUGGUUUUCCAUACUAAAUCUAAUUUCUUGCAUAAUAUAAAAAUUUUUAAAGCACAAAAACAGCUGUUGAUUCCUUAAAUAAGGGCUCUAAGGAAAGAACAUUUUGCUUCUGUUAUCAGUCUCCUCUGUAGACCAUGGUAAAUAUAUAGCUCUCUCAGAAAUAAACAAGGAGUAUGGAAGACUUUAAUGGGGUAUAUGAUGAUUGGAAUGACCAAUAUCGGCACAAAACACCCCAAGACCAAGUUCUCAGCACAAACAUUUAUUUGCCCCAGAGGGACAAAGGGCAAGGAAUAAGAG
rnacentral:lncRNA from 1 species